UUUUUCUAUUAAAAAUAAUUUAUUCCAGGAAUGGGACCACAUAUAAAUAAUUCUUGAAACACAUUACAGUUAAUAUUUGCUGUGAAUAAAUACCAAACAAACCAAAAAAAAAAACAAGGCUUUUCAUACAAUACUCUAUAUGAAAGGUUGCACAAAAUUUCUAUCUUGUCAUCUAUGUUCCUCUAGGUCUAUAACUGGAAUGUCACUAUGUACUGUACGUCAGAAGUACCGUUCCUAAUUCCAGAGCAGCUUAUUAAGUAUUGUGCAAGUUUGUGAUGAUCUGAACUGACUGAACAGAUCUAGUAGUUGACGAGUAGACACUCUUGAAUUUAUAAUUCAACUGCAAACUUUUCUCGUGUGUAUCAUUUAUCCAAAGCACAUUUCUGUAUAGGCCCACAUGAAUCAAAGCUAAAUGUGCUUGCACAAUAUUGGACUUUAAGGAUGGGAAUAUGUAACACAGACAGGUAG